rnacentral:rRNA from 1 species
AUUGAACGCUGGCGGCAGGCUUAACACAUGCAAGUCGAGCGAGCGGCGGACGGGUGAGUCAUGUCUGGGAAACUGACUGAUGGAGGGGGCUAACUACUGGAAACGGUAGCUAAUACCGCAUACCAUCAGAUGUGCCCAUCUGGGAUUAGCUAGUAGGUGGGGUAAUGGCUCACCUAGGCGACGAUCCCUAGCUGGUCUGAGAGGAUGACGAGCCAGACGUGAACUGAGACACGGUCCAGACGCCUACGGGAGGCAGCAGUGGGGAAGAGUGAACAAUGGGCGCAAGCCUGAUGCAGCCAUGCCGCGUGUGUGAAGAAGGCCUUCGGGUUGUAAAGCACUUUCAGCGAGGAGGCGUUACUCGCAGAAGAAGCACCGGCUAACUCCGUGCCAGCAGCCGCGGUAAUAC